rnacentral:rRNA from 1 species
GACGAACGCUGGCGGCGUGCUUAACACAUGCAAGUCGAACGGAAAGGCCCUGCUUGCAGGGUACUCGAGUGGCGAACGGGUGAGUAACACGUGGGUGAUCUGCCCUGCACUUCGGGAUAAGCCUGGGAAACUGGGUCUAAUACCGGAUAGGAGCCAUUUUUAGUGUGAUGGUUGGAAAGUUUUUUCGGUGUAGGAUGAGCUCGCGGCCUAUCAGCUUGUUGGUGAGGUAAUGGCCUACCAAGGCGGCGGCGGGUAGCCGGCCUGUGAGGGUGGACGGCCACAUUGGGACUGAGAGACGGCCCAGACUCCUACGGGAGGCAGCAGUGGGGAAUAUUGCACAAUGGGCGCAAGCCUGAUGCAGCGACGCCGCGUGGGGGAUGACGGCCUUCGGGUUGUAAACUCCUUUCGCUAGGGACGAAGCUUUUUGUGACGGUACCUAGAUAAGAAGCACCGGCUAACUACGUG